GACGAACGCUGGCGGCGUGCCUAAUACAUGCAAGUCGAGCGAUGAAGUUUGGUGCUUGCACCAAUUUGAAGAGCAGCGAACGGGUGAGUAACGCGUGGGGAAUCUGCCUUUGAGCGGGGGACAACAUCUGGAAACGAAUGCUAAUACCGCAUAACAUCUUUAAACAUAAGGUUCAAGUGUGAAAGAUGCAAUUGCAGCACCCAAAGGUGAUCCCGCGUUGUAUUUGCUAGGUUGUGAGGUAAAGGGCCUCCAAGGCGAUGAUACCUAGCCCGCCUGGGAGGGGGGUCGGCCCAACUUGGACUGAGACCCCGCCCCAGCUCCUACGGGGGGGCGCCGGAGGGGAACCUUGGCAAUGGAGGGAAGUCUGAACGGGCAAAGCCGCGUGAGUGAAGAAGGUUUUCCGGUCCUAAAACUCUGGUGAUAGGGAAGAAACUUGGUGGGAGUGGAAAGCGCACCAAGUGACGGUACCUACUCAGAAAGCGACGGCUAACUACGUG
rnacentral:rRNA from 1 species